rnacentral:rRNA from 1 species
UGGGGAAUAUUGCACAAUGGAGGGAACUCUGAUGCAGCGACGCCGCGUGAACGAAGAAGGCUUUCGAGUCGUAAAGUUCUUUUAUAUGGGAAGAUAAUGACGGUACCAUAAGAAGAAGCCCCGGCUAACUACGUGCCAGCAGCCGCGGUAAUACGUAGGGGGCUAGCGUUGUCCGGAAUCACUUGGCGUAAAGGGUUCGCAGGCGGAAAUGCAAGUCAGGUGUAAAAGGCAGUAGCUUAACUACUGUAAGCAUUUGAAACUGCAUAUCUUGAGAAGAGUAGAGGUAAGUGGAAUUUUUAGUGUAGCGGUGAAAUGCGUAGAUAUUAAAAAGAAUACCGGUGGCGAAGGCGACUUACUGGGCUCAUUCUGACGCUGAGGAACGAAAGCGUGGGUAGCAAGCAGG